ACAAAAUUCAAAAUGGCGCGUGCACUUUUCAUACGACAUUUUCGCUAGUUUCGCCCCCAUUCACGUCUCUAUUUCGGGUCUGGGGCAUCUCCGUGUCCAUAGUCUCUGGUAGGAACAGGCACAGCAACCCCCCGGCAAUACCCAGGGCACCAAGAAUCAGGAGUGGAAGGUCCUGGGAGAUGUUCGCCUGGAGAACGAGGUUUGUCGGAUCUAUAGCGGGAACGAUGAUUCGGCUCGACCGCCACCAAAGGUAAGAUCUUCCGCCAGGCUGGUGUGAUGUCUGAGGAACCGCGCGACAGACGAUGUUGUGUC